CCCCAACAACCACCCCCCCCAAAACUUUUUAAAUAUAAAGCUAUUAUGGGUUCUGUUUUUAAUUUCAUUUGUGUUACUUUUUUUUAACUGAAAAUGGGAAAAAAAAAUCUGGGUUGUUCAUUUUAUAUUGAAGAUGGGUAAUAAUUAUCGUGGAUGAUCAAGCUUUUGAUUUUAUGGAAAGUAAAUUGUUUGGCUUGUUUUAUUUAUGCCCUUUUCGCCCCUUUCAUUCCUUCCUCUUGCUGCUAAAAUUGCGUAUUGGCUUUGUCCUGUGGA
rnacentral:misc_RNA from 1 species